rnacentral:rRNA from 1 species
GAAGGCAUCUAAGCGUGAAGCCCCCCUCAAGAUGGGAUAUCUCAUGUGAAAACAGUAAGACCCCUUGAAGACUACGAGGUAGAUAGGGCCAAGAUGUAACUACAGUAAUGAAUUAAGUAGAUGGUUCCUAAUACGUCGAGGGUUUAACCAAG